GACGGAGGAUGCAAGCGUUAUCCGGAAUGAUUGGGCGUAAAGCGUCCGCAGGUGGCAGUUCAAGUCUGCUGUCAAAGACCGGGGCUUAACUUCGGAAAGGCAGUGGAAACUGAACAGCUAGAGUAUGGUAGGGGCAGAGGGAAUUCCUGGUGUAGCGGUGAAAUGCGUAGAUAUCAGGAGGAACACCGGUGGCGAAGGCGGGUCUCUGGGCAACUACUGACGCUGAGGAGCGAAAGCGUGGGGAGCGAACAGG
rnacentral:rRNA from 1 species